rnacentral:lncRNA from 1 species
GGGAAAUUCUGUUGUGUUAAACAUUCGUUCCAAAUAAACUAUGAAUUAUAAAAUUGAGGAUUUGCCGCCCACCGACUGAUGUAUAAUAUUCGAAUCGACAGUUCCUCACUGUCCAAUCAGAGGCGCGCUAUGGUUCAUCUAGAAUUCUGCCCACAAAAUCUACAAUGUACCCAUGUUGGCAAAGCAGCAAAAAUUAUGGCUUUAAUAUUGAUAAUUGCAGAAUGUAAUCUAUGCACUCUGCUAAGAAUACAAAAUGUAAUUGAUAAACAAAAUCCACAAUGUACCCAUGUUGGUAAAGUAGCAAGAGUAUGGCUUAAAAUAUUGAUCUUUGAUUAAUUUAGCUUAAUCAGUUAUCAAAAACCAGCACUAUUAGCAAGGUUAGUAAUUUUUAUUCUUGUAUAAUAUUUU